CCUACGGGAGGCUGCAGUGAGGAAUAUUGGUCAAUGGGCGAAAGCCUGAACCAGCCAAGUAGCGUGCAGGAUGACUGCCCUACGGGUUGUAAACUUCUUUUAUAGGGGAAUAAAGCGCCUUACGUGUAGGGCUUUGCAUGUACCAUAUGAAUAAGGAUCGGCUAAUUCCGUGCCAGCAGCCGCGGUAAUACGGAAGGUCCGGGCGUUAUCCGGAUUUAUUGGGUUUAACGGGAGCGUAGGCGGUAGGUCAAGCCUGAUGUGAAAUGUCGGGGCUUAACCCUGGAAUUGCAGUGGAAACUGGCGGGCUUGAGUACACGAGAGGUAGGCGGAAUUCGUGGUGUAGCGGUGAAAUGCUUAGAUAUCACGAAGAACCCCGAUUGCGAAGGCAGCUCACUGGACUGGAACUGACGCUGAGGCUCGAAAGCGUGGGUAUCGAACAGGAUUAGAUACCCGAGUAGUC
rnacentral:rRNA from 1 species